rnacentral:snRNA from 1 species
GGAUGUGAGGGCGAUCUGGCUGCGACAUCUGUCACCCCAUUGAUCGCCAGGGUUGAUUCGGCUGAUCUGGCUGGCUAGGCGGGUGUCCCCCGCCUCCCUCACCGAUCCAUGUGCGUCCCUCCCAAAGCUGCGCGCUCGGUCGGUCGAAGAGGACGACCUUCCCCCCAGAGGAGAGGACCAGUCUUGGGUCAAGGGUAUACGAGUAGCUGCGCUCCCCUGCUAGAACCUCCAAAGAAGCUCUCAAGGUCCAUUUGUAGGAGAACGUAGGGUAGUCAAGCUUCCAAGACUCCAGACCAGGGGUCCU